rnacentral:rRNA from 1 species
UGCCAGCCGCCGCGGUAACACGGGGGGCGCAAGCGUUGUUCGGAAUUACUGGGCGUAAAGCGCGCGUAGGUGGUUAUAUAAGUCAGAUGUGAAAGUCCACGGCUCAACCGUGGAAGUGCAUUUGAAACUGUAUAACUUGAGUACUGGAGGGGGUAGUGGAAUUCCCGGUGUAGAGGUGAAAUUCGUAGAUAUCGGGAGGAAUACCGGUGGCGAAGGCGACCACCUGGCCAGAUACUGGCGCUGAGGUGCGAAAGCGUGGGGAGCAAACAGGAUUAGAUA